rnacentral:rRNA from 1 species
AGUUCGAUUAUGGCUCAGAUUGAACGCUGAGUGGGAUGCUUUUACACAAGCAAAAAGUCGAACGGCAGCACUUAUCAUCUUCGGUCUGGUGGCGAGUGGCGAACGGUGCAUAAUAUAUCGGAACGUGCCUAGUGAAGUGGGGAUAACUACGCGAAAGCGUGCCAUUACCGCAUACGCCCUUCGGGGAAAGCGGGGACCUCGGGCCUCGCACUAUUAGAGCGGCUGAUAUCGGAUUAGCUAGUUGUGCGGUGUGGGGUAACGGUCACUAUGGACGAUCCAGCUGGCUUGAGAGGACGACCAGCCACACUGGGACUGAGACACGGCCCAGACUCCACGGGAGGUAGCAGUGGGGAAUUUUGGACAAUGGGGGAAAACCCCGAUCCAGCCAUCCCGGGUGUGCGAGAAGGCCUUCGGGUUGUAAAAGCACUCUUGGCAGGAAGAAACGGCACGGAUAAAUACCUGUGCAACUGACGGUACCUGCAGACAAGCACCGGCUAACUACGCGCCAGGCAGCCGCGGUAAUAUGUAGGUGUUGUUAAUCGGAAUUACCAAGGAAGGUGGCAGGGCUCGGAAAGAAAGAUGUGAAAUCCCAGCUGAAUCUUGAACUACUUUUAACUACCAGAGCUAGAGUGGUGGUCAGAGUGGAGGUAAUCGCGUAGCAAGAAAGGUGAUAUGCGGAGGAACACCGACGGCGAAGGCAGCCUCUGGGAUAACAUCGACUAUGCACAAAAGCGUGGGGAGUAAACAGGAUUAGAUACCCUGGUAGUCCACGGGCCUAAACGAAUAACUAGCUGUUGGGGCCUUCGCCUUGGUAGCGCAGCUAACGAAGUUGACCGCUCGGGGAGCUAAUGGUCGCAAGAUUAAAACUCAAAGGAAUUGACGGGGACCCGCACGCGGUGGAUGAUGUGGAUUAAUUCGAUGCAACGCUGCAAAACUUUACCUACCCUUGACAUGUCUGGAAUCCCAGCUGAUAUUUCCAGAUGUCGCAAGAGAACCGGAACAUGGUGCCGCAUGGCUGUCGUCAGCUCGUGUCGUGAGAUGUUGGGUUAAGUCCCGCAACGAGCGCAACCCCGCAUGUCAUUAGUUGCUGUAAAGGGCAUCAAUGAGACGCCGGUGACAAAUCCCGAGGAAGGUGGGAUGAUGUCAAGUCCUCAUGGCCCUUAUGGGUAGGGCUUCACACGUCAUACAAUGUCGUGGACAGAGGGUCGCCAGCCUGGCGAGUGGAGCCAAUCCCAGAAACCUGAUCGUAGUCCGGAUCGCAGUCUGCACCGACUGCGUGGGUCGGGAAUCGCCAGUGAUCGCGGAUCAGCAUGUCGCGGUGAAUACGUUCCCGGGUCUUGUACACACCGCCCGUCACAAUUAAGUGGAGUGGUUUUACCAGAAGAAGUAACGAACUGCAGGAGGGCGAUUACCAUUGUAGGAUUCAUGACUGGGGUGAAGUCGUAACAAGGUAG